UACGGGGGGGGCAAGCGUUGUUCGGAAUUACUGGGCGUAAAGCGCACGUAGGCGGCUUUCUAAGUCGGGGGUGAAAUCCUGGAGCUCAACUCCAGAACUGCCCUUCGAUACUGGAAAGCUCGAGUCCGGGAGAGGUGAGUGGAACUGCGAGUGUAGAGGUGAAAUUCGUAGAUAUUCGCAAGAACACCAGUGGCGAAGGCGGCCUCACUGGCCCGGUACUGACGCUGAGGUGCGAAAGCGUGGGGAGCAAACAGG
rnacentral:rRNA from 1 species